GGAUCCAGACUUUGAUCAUGGCUCAGGAUGAACGCUAGCUACAGGCUUAACACAUGCAAGUCGAGGGGAAACGACAUCGAAAGCUUGCCUUUGAUGGGCGUCGACCGGCGCACGGGUGAGUAACGCGUAUCCAACCUGCCCACCACUUGGGGAUAACCUUGCGAAAGUAAGACUAAUACCCAAUGACGUCUCUAGAAGACAUCUGAAGGAGAUUAAAGAUUUAUCGGUGAUGGAUGGGGAUGCGUCUGAUUAGCUUGUUGGCGGGGUAACGGCCCACCAAGGCAACGAUCAGUAGGGGUUCUGAGAGGAAGGUCCCCCACAUUGGAACUGAGACACGGUCCAAACUCCUACGGGAGGCAGCAGUGAGGAAUAUUGGUCAAUGGGCGAGAGCCUGAACCAGCCAAGUAGCGUGCAGGAUGACGGCCCUAUGGGUUGUAAACUGCUUUUAUAAGGGAAUAAAGUGAGUCUCGUGAGACUUUUUGCAUGUACCUUAUGAAUAAGGACCGGCUAAUUCCGUGCCAGCAGCCGCGGUAAUACGGAAGGUCCGGGCGUUAUCCGGAUUUAUUGGGUUUAAAGGGAGCGUAGGCCGGAGAUUAAGCGUGUUGUGAAAUGUAGAUGCUCAACAUCUGAACUGCAGCGCGAACUGGUUUCCUUGAGUACGCACAAAGUGGGCGGAAUUCGUGGUGUAGCGGUGAAAUGCUUAGAUAUCACGAAGAACUCCCACCGCCAAGGCAGCUCACUGGAGCGCAACUGACGCUGAAGCUCGAAAGUGCGGGUAUCGAACAGGAUUAGAUACCCUGGUAGUCCGCACGGUAAACGAUGGAUGCCCGCUGUUGGUCUGAAUAGGUCAGCGGCCAAGCGAAAGCAUUAAGCAUCCCACCUGGGGAGUACGCCGGCAACGGUGCAACUCAAAGGAAUUGACGG
rnacentral:rRNA from 1 species